rnacentral:lncRNA from 1 species
GUUUCCUCCAUCUUUCAACGCUGAGAGAGUUUCCAGGCACUAGUUCAGGAAAAGAGAACUCAGUCAGGGGCUUUAUGAGGUAAACAGACACCGCUAAGAGUUCUGGGAGGAAAAGCCAAGGGCAGAGUACUGGAGAGGUGAGCGUUACAUGUAUCAAGUCUAGAGAUCUGAAGAUGAGAUCUCUCAAGUAUUCAUCUGAGCAUUCAUUAGUGCAGGAAUGUUCAGGAAUAUUUCUAAGAACACAAAAACACCCAGCUCCCAACCUGGUAAAUUCCACAACUCAUAGCAUCCAGUUAGAAGUUAGCAGGCAUUCAAAGAGCAAAGAAGAAAACUGUGACUCAUAAUAAGGAUUACAACUCUUGAAUACAAGUUUAAUGAUAGUUGACUGAGUCAAGAAGCCAAAGAACAAGCAAAUGUGAUAAACACUGGAAGGAAAAGAAAAAUGAGUAAAGCCAACUCUUUGUGCUCGGAGAAUUUAUAAUCUAGCAAUGAAGCAUGUAUUCAAAAUCAACUAUGGAAAAAAUGAGACAGUAAUCCACAUCAAUACACAUGGAAAUGAUUUAAAGCUUUUCUGAUAACAAGACCAAUAAAAUAGUAACAAUGUG